rnacentral:rRNA from 1 species
GUACGGGAGGCAGCAGUCGGGAAUUUUGGGCAAUGGGCGAAAGCCUGACCCAGCAACGCCGCGUGAAGGAUGAAGUAUUUCGGUAUGUAAACUUCGAAAGAAUGGGAAGAAUAAAUGACGGUACCAUUUAUAAGCUCCGGCUAACUACGUGCCAGCAGCCGCGGUAAUACGUAGGGAGCAAGCGUUGUUCGGAUUUACUGGGCGUAAAGGGCGCGUAGGCGGCGUGGUAAGUCACUUGUGAAAUCUCUGAGCUUAACUCAGAACGGCCAAGUGAUACUGCUGUGCUAGAGUGCAGAAGGGGCAAUCGGAAUUCUUGGUGUAGCGGUGAAAUGCGUAGAUAUCAAGAGGAACACCUGAGGUGAAGACGGGUUGCUGGGCUGACACUGACGCUGAGGCGCGAAAGCCAGGGGAGCAAACGGGAUUAGAUACCCCGGUAGC